GGAGGAAAGCAGGGGAUCGCAAGACCUUGUGCUUUUGGAGCGGCCGAUGUCUGAUUAGCUAGUUGGUGAGGUAAAGGCUUACCAAGGCGUCGAUCAGUAGCUGGUCUGAGAGGACGACCAGCCACACUGGGACUGAGACACGGCCCAGACUCCUACGGGAGGCAGCAGUGGGGAAUUUUGGACAAUGGGGGAAACCCUGAUCCAGCCAUGCCGCGUGAGUGAAGAAGGCCUUCGGGUUGUAAAGCUCUUUCAGCCGGAACGAAACGGUCACGGUUAAUACCCGUGACAACUGACGGUACCGGAAGAAGAAGCACCGGCUAACUACGUGCCAGCAGCCGCGGUAAUACGUAGGGUGCGAGCGUUAAUCGGAAUUACUGGGCGUAAAGCGUGCGCAGGCGGUUUUGUAAGUCAGAUGUGAAAUCCCCGGGCUUAACCUGGGAACUGCGUUUGAAACUACAAGGCUAGA
rnacentral:rRNA from 1 species